rnacentral:misc_RNA from 1 species
AGCAGCCGCGGUAAUUCCAGCUCCAAUAGCGUAUAUUAAAGUUGUUGCAGUUAAAAGCUCGUAGUUGAAUUUCGGGGUCAGCAGGUUGGUCGUGCCAAUGGUAUGCACUGGCCUUGCUGAUUCCUCCCUCUUGAUGAGCCGUAAUGUCAUUAAUUUGGUGUUGCGGGGAAUCAGGACUGUUACUUUGAAAAAUUGAGUGUUUAAAGCAGGCAAGCGCUUGAAUACAUUAGCAUGGAAUAAUGAAAUAGGACGUUUGAUCCUAUUUUGUUGGUUUCUAGGAUUGACGUAAUGAUUAAUAGGGAUAGGUUGGGGGCAUUAGUAUUCAAUUGUCAGAGGUGAAAUUCU